GUCAGUUUUAAUUAUGUCAAUAUGGGCGGGUUUAAAUUAUAUAGGAUUGUAAGAAGUUGAACCUUACUUUGUAUAUAUAGAAAUUCAAAAAUGGUCGCAGUUACCGUGGAAUUGGUAUAAGAAACAUCCGAAAUUACUUCAGUUGCCAUGGAAACAUGGGAAUGUUUAAUGUAUAAAGAAAAAACGCACACUUUGACAGUAAACAUCGUUUAUCGUUCG
rnacentral:lncRNA from 1 species